CCCGAACUUUUAAAUUGUAUAAAUAAAAUUUAUAUUAAAAAUAUAAUAUAUUAUUUAUCUAUAAGUAUUAGAAUUAUUUUUUUAUAACUUUUAAUAUUUUAAAAAUAUUAAACUAUGUUUCACAUGAUAUAUUUUCAAGUUUAUAAUUUAUAAAAUUAUAUGAUAAUAAAAGAUUUUAUUUUUGAUAAUGCUCUUUUUAUUAUGAGUUUAGUCCUACGCUAUUUCAAAUAGCAAUUUAAC
rnacentral:lncRNA from 1 species